rnacentral:rRNA from 1 species
UUGCACGCUGGCGGCAUGCCUUACCCAUGCAAGUCGAACGGUAACGGGCCUUCGGGUGCCGACGAGUGGCGAACGGGUGAGUAAUACAUCGGAACGUGCCCGAUCGUGGGGGAUAACGAGGCGAAAGCUUUGCUAAUACCGCAUACGAUCUACGGAUGAAAGCAGGGGACCGCAAGGCCUUGCGCGGACGGAGCGGCCGAUGGCAGAUUAGGUAGUUGGUGGGAUAAAAGCUUACCAAGCCGACGAUCUGUAGCUGGUCUGAGAGGAUGAUCAGCCACACUGGGACUGAGACACGGCCCAGACUCCUACGGGAGGCAGCAGUGGGGAAUUUUGGACAAUGGGCGCAAGCCUGAUCCAGCCAUGCCGCGUGCAGGAUGAAGGCCUUCGGGUUGUAAACUGCUUUUGUACGGAACGAAAAGCCUUCUUUUAAUACAGGAGGGUCAUGACGGUACCGUAAGAAUAAGCACCGGCUAACUACGUG